GGUACUCCAUUGUCUGGUAAAGUUCAUAUGACUGCAUUCUUUUUGCAAGGGGGGUGGAGGGAGAGCGGGGAAGGAGGGGGUGUCAGCUCAACUGUAAAAGCUGCACAGAUUUUUUUUCUUUCUCUCUCUCUGCCUCUCCAUAGAUUGUUUCUGUUUCAUGCCCUGUCUCAUUUCGCAUAGCUAAAAAAGAAUGCUAAUUAAGAUCCCUUGUCUUAACCUGAAAAAUAAUGACUCGGCUGUAAUUAGAAAUCUGGUGAGAGUUUAAAAAUUCUGGUAGGGGACCAAAAACAUCAGUUACGGUGCUUAGGAAGAAAAUGAAGAAUUAUUUUUCUGAAAUCAAGAUGGAUCUGAGAACGCUGUCUGGGCUUGGUACCAAGAGCUGGUAUUUCACAGCAGCGACCGCCUCACAGACGAGCUGUGGGAAGCAGGAGGGAGACUCUCUCUUAGGGUGCCACUACUAUGGAGACACAGCUGGGCUGAACAAGAUUUGCUUCAAACGACAACAAGAGAGACAGAAAGUAUCUGGUUCAACCGCUGCCCGAGCAGGCAGGCACCAGAAGAGCUAGCAGCCAAUCCGGCCAUGCUCGAAGCCAGCUCUGCAGCUCAGCCAAUCAGUGACAUCAUUGCUUUCUUUAGCUUGCCCAUGGUGAUGUGAAGAUGAGAAGAAAUAGCAAGGCCCAACCAGUUCUUCAUCUGGAGACAGUUCAACGUUCUGCAAACCAG
rnacentral:lncRNA from 1 species